GCCGGGCGUGGUGGUGCGCGCCUGUAAUCCCAGCUACUUGUGAGGCUGAGGCAGGUGAAUCACUUGAACUCAGGAGGUGGAGGUUGCAGUGAGCUGAGAUCAUGCCACUGCACUCCAGCCUGAGUGACAGAGUGAGAUUCUGUCUCAA
rfam:Gorilla gorilla gorilla genomic chromosome, chr19, whole genome shotgun sequence